CACGUAGGGCGCAAGCGUUGCCCGGAAUUACUGGGCGUAAAGAGCUCGUAGGUGGUUUGUCGCGUUGUCCGUGAAAACUCACAGCUUAACUGUGGGCGUGCGGGCGAUACGGGCAGACUGGAGUACUGCAGGGGAGACUGGAAUUCCUGGUGUAGCGGUGGAAUGCGCAGAUAUCAGGAGGAACACCGGUGGCGAAGGCGGGUCUCUGGGCAGUAACUGACGCUGAGGAGCGAAAGCGUGGGGAGCGAACAGG
rnacentral:rRNA from 1 species